rnacentral:rRNA from 1 species
AGCGAACGCUGGCGGCAGGCCUAACACAUGCAAGUCGAACGAACCUUUCGGGGUUAGUGGCGGAAGGGUGAGUAACACGUGGGAACGUGCCUUUAGGUUCGGAAUAACUCAGGGAAACUUGUGCUAAUACCGAAUGUGCCCUUCGGGGGAAAGAUUAAUCGCCUUUAGAGCGGCCCGCGUCUGAUUAGCUAGUUGGUUGAGGUAAUGGCCCACCAAGGCGACGAUCAGUAGCUGGUCUGAGAGGAUGAUCAGCCACAUUGGGACUGAGACACGGCCCAAACUCCUACGGGAGGCAGCAGUGGGGAAUCUUGCGCAAUGGGCGAAAGCCUGACGCAGCCAUGCCGCGUGAAUGAUGAAGGUCUUAGGAUUGUAAAAUUCUUUCACCGGGGACGAUAAUGACGGUACCCGGAGAAGAAGCCCCGGCUAACUUCGUG